GCUGUAGUUCAGUGGCAGCACAUCUGCUUUGCAUGCAAAGCACCCCAGGUUCAAUUCCUGGUAUCUCCA